GAUGAACGCUGGCGGCGUGCCUAAUACAUGCAAGUCGAGCGAACGGACGAGAAGCUUGCUUUUCUGAUGUUAGCGGCGGACGGGUGAGUAACACGUGGAUAACCUACCUAUAAGACUGGGAUAACUUCGGGAAACCGGAGCUAAUACCGGAUAAUAUGUUGAACCGCAUGGUUCAAAAGUGAAAGACGGUCUUGCUGUCACUUAUAGAUGGAUCCGCGCUGCAUUAGCUAGUUGGUAAGGUAACGGCUUACCAAGGCAACGAUGCAUAGCCGACCUGAGAGGGUGAUCGGCCACACUGGAACUGAGACACGGUCCAGACUCCUACGGGAGGCAGCAGUAGGGAAUCUUCCGCAAUGGGCGAAAGCCUGACGGAGCAACGCCGCGUGAGUGAUGAAGGUCUUCGGAUCGUAAAACUCUGUUAUUAGGGAAGAACAUAUGUGUAAGUAACUGUGCACAUCUUGACGGUACCUAAUCAGAAAGCCACGGCUAACUACGUG
rnacentral:rRNA from 1 species